AAGAUGGCGACCGGCGCACGGGUGAGUAACACGUAUCCAACCUGCCGAUAACUCCGGAAUAGCCUUUCGAAAGAAAGAUUAAUACCGGAUGGCAUACGAAUAUCGCAUGAUAUCUUUAUUAAAGAAUUUCGGUUAUCGAUGGGGAUGCGUUCCAUUAGUUUGUUGGCGGGGUAACGGCCCACCAAGACUACGAUGGAUAGGGGUUCCGAGAGGAAGGUCCCCCACAUUGGAACUGAGACACGGUCCAA
rnacentral:rRNA from 1 species